rnacentral:tRNA from 1 species
AGUCGGGUGACCGAGUGGAUAGGUGAUGGUCUGCAAAACCUUUUACGGCAGUUCGAAUCUGCCCCCGACGU